UUGCCGCGCAGUCCGGUUUCCAGGUGGCGGCCGAUGGUGUCGUCGUCCUCGACGACGAGGACGCGGAACCGGUUGCGGUCCGGUGUGGCGGGC
rnacentral:tRNA from 1 species